GAAUGGACUAGGCCGGGCAGUUAGGCCCUGCUCGAAACUCACAAAAUGGUCUUUAGUGAGGGCCGAAUCCGGGUGCGUCCGGCCAACCGGUGCGGGCCCUGCAAACCAACUGAGAAGCCUCGUCCGUCGGGGGCAGCGGUCCACGACCAGACGCCUGCAGGGGCGUUUUGGCGUGGUUGAUCGUGGUCAGUCCGUCAGGCGCGGAAGCGAGCAGCGGAACCACGGACACCUGUCGCUCGACGGGUCGCGGGGUGGAGGAGGGGAGCAGCAUUCCCCGUCCCGGAACGCCGGGCAAUCCCGUCGUCCGCCU
rnacentral:SRP_RNA from 1 species